UACGUAGGGCGCAAGCGUUGUCCGGAAUUAUUGGGCGUAAAGAGCUCGUAGGCGGCUUGUCACGUCGGGUGUGAAAGCCCGGGGCUUAACCCCGGGUCUGCAUUCGAUACGGGCAGGCUAGAGUGUGGUAGGGGAGAUCGGAAUUCCUGGUGUAGCGGUGGAAUGCGCAGAUAUCAGGAGGAACACCAAUGGCGAAGGCAGAUCUCUGGGCCGUAACUGACGCUGAGGAGCGAAAGCAUGGGGAGCGAACAGG
rnacentral:rRNA from 1 species